rnacentral:rRNA from 1 species
CAAUAGCGUAUAUUUAAGUUGCUGCAGUUAAAAAGCUCGUAGUUGGAUUUCGGGAGGGAAUGGCCGGUCCGCCGUUUCGGUGUGCACUUGCUACGCCCACCUUGCUGCCGGGGACGUGCUCUUGAGUUCACGCUCGGGACACGGAGUCGGCGAGGUUACUUUGAGUAAAUUAGAGUGUUCAAAGCAGGCCUACGCUCUGAAUACAUUAGCAUGGAAUAACACGAUAGGACUCUGGCCUAUCUUGUUGGUCUGUAGGACCGGAGUAAUGAUUAAGAGGGACAGUCGGGGGCAUUCGUAUUUCAUUGUCAGAGGUGAAAUUCUUGGAUUUAUGAAAGACGAACUACUGCGAAAGCAUUUGCCAAGGAUGUUUUCAUUAA